CGAAAUUCCUUGUCGGGUAAGUUCCGACCUGCACGAAUGGCGUAACGACUUCCCCACUGUCUCGACCAGGAGCUCGGCGAAAUUGCAGUACGAGUAAAGAUGCUCGUUAAGCGCAGAAGGACGAAAAGACCCCGGGACCUUUACUAUACCUUGGUAUUGGCAUUCGGUGUGGAUUGUGUAGCAUAGGCGGGAGGCCGAGAGGCGCGGUCGCCAGAUCGCGCGGAGCCGUAAGGUGAAAUACCGCUCUGUUCGCAUUGGAUGUCUAACCUCGAACAGUCAUCCUGUUCAGGGACAGUGCCUGGCGGGUAGUUUAACUGGGGCGGUUGCCUCCCAAAGAGUAACGGAGGCGCCCAAAGGUCCGCUCAGCCCGGUUGGCAAUCGGGUGGCGAGUGCAAGUGCACAAGCGGGCUUGACUGCGAGGACGACGGUCCGAGCAGGGACGAAAGUCGGGACUAGUGAUCCGGUGCCGGUGUACGGACGCGGCAUCGCUCAACGGAUAAAAGGUACCCCGGGGAUAACAGGCUGAUCAUUCCCAAGAGUCCAUAUCGACGGGAUGGUUUGGCACCUCGAUGUCGGCUCGUCGCAUCCUGGGGCUGGAGCAGGUCCCAAGGGUUCGGCUGUUCGCCGAUUAAAGCGGCACGCGAGCUGGGUUCAGAACGUCGUGAGACAGUUUGGUCUCUAUCCUCUGCGCUCGUUGGAAUGCUGAGGAGGCCUGCCCAUAGUACGAGAGGACCUGGGUGGACGAACCUCUGGUAUGCCGGUUGUCACGCCAGUGGCACGGCCGGUUGGCUACGUUCGGAAGGGAUAACCGCUGAAAGCAUCUAAGCGGGAAGCCUGCUCCAAGAUAAGCAUUCCGUGGAACCUUCGAGUUCCUGUAGUCCCCAUGCAGAACACGUGGUCGAUAGGCCGGACGUGGAAGCCCCGCGAGGGGUGGAGCCGACCGGUACUAACGGACGAAAGGCAACACUAA
rnacentral:rRNA from 1 species